rnacentral:rRNA from 1 species
GUUUAAUUGGGGCGACGACCUUAUUUACUGGAACCAAUGGUGUACAAAGUUCAGAAUAUGAAACUUUGUUAAAGGACUUGUAAGUGCAAAGAUACAAUUCAAGGUUUAAUGGCAGCUGUUUUGUUCAUUAUGUAAGCAGUGUUUUAGUGACCUUAUAAUUAAUUUAACAGAUAAAAGCUACUCAAGGGAUAACAGGCUUA